AUAAAAACCCAAGGGUACUUUAUGGGCGGAGUUUGUUUGUGUAUCUGUUUGUUUGUUUGUCCGAGAAAAAAGCGUCGUGCGCACGCUGCCAUUGGUUGGACGGCGUCACGUGCUUUUUUUCUACCUGCGAAAAGGUUCAAACUGCCGCCAGCUAGGCUUAACUUUUCCUUUUACUUUGCCGUCCCUUUUGCCAUUGGUCCAACUGCCGUCACGUGUCUUUUUUUCUACCUGCGAAAAGGUUCGACUACCUGAAAAGGGUUCGACCUGCCGCCAGCAAGGCUUAACCUUUUCCCUCUUUCCGCUUUUCUACACUGUAGCUAUUCCCCACACCGCACUCCGCAUUUUAUCUACCCCGACUCCACCAUAAUGGCCGACGUCAACCAUAUGCCCAGCACACAGCCUUCACGUCAAAGGUCCGUUGGUUACGUUCUAUUUUGAAGAGACUGCAGCCCCAAAACAACCAACAAUUCAUUGUUUUCAUUGCCUGUCGUUGUCAUUGUCUGUGUUUCAAAACUACCUCAAGAGACCGUUCCAUUUGACAGCCCUGAAACAACCACCAAUUCACUGUUUUGGUUGACAGCUCCAUUUGCUGUGUCCCAAACUCCACCUUAUGAGACCGUUCCCUUUUGCAUCCUCUACCAAGCCCCAAUUCAUUGUGUUUUCAUCAGCUCCAUGGACUGCAUUUCAACACUCUUUAGACAACGUUCCCUUUCACAUUCUUCAAACAAGCCCCAUUUCAUUGUAAUUUCACCAGCUGUGUUGACUACAUUCCAACACUUUUCAGAGACCUUUCCCUUUUGCAUCUCCCCAAACAAGCCCCAAUUCAUUGUUUUCACCAGGUCUAUUGAUUGCAUUCUAACACUUUUUAGAGACCGUUCCAUUUUGCAUCCCUCAAACAAGCUCCAAUUUACUGUGUCUUCAGCAGCUCCAUUGACUUGAAUUCACCACACUUCAGAGAACGUUCUCUAUUGCAACCCUCAAACAGGCCCCAAUUCCUGGUUUUUCACCAACUCAGUUGACUGCAAUCCAUCAACUCUUAGAAACCGUUCCAGUUUGCAUCCUUUAAACAAACAACAAUUGAUUUUGCUUCCACCAGCUCCGUUGACUGCUUUCAAACACUUUUCAGAGACCGUUCCCUUUUGCAUCCUCUACCAAGCCCCAAUUCAUUUUGUUUUCAUCAGCCCCUGUACUGCAUUCCACCACCCUUUAGACAACGUUCCCUUUCACCUUCUUCAAACAAGCCCCAAUUCAUUUUGUUUUCAUCAGCCCCUGUACUGCAUUCCACCACCCUUUAGACAACGUUCCCUUUCACAUUCUUCAAACAAGCCCCAUUUCAUUGUGUUUUCACCAGCUGUGUUGACUUUAUUCCAACACUUUUCAGAGACCGUUCCCUUUUGCAUCCU